rnacentral:rRNA from 1 species
GACGAACUCUGGCGGCGUGCUUAACACAUGCAAGUCGAACGGUAAGGCUCCAGCUUGCUGGGGUACACGAGUGGCGAACGGGUGAGUAACACGUGGGUGACCUGCCCUGCACUUCGGGAUAAGCCUGGGAAACUGGGUCUAAUACCGGAUAGGACCGCACCGUGAGGGUGUGGUGGAAAGUUUUUUCGGUGUGGGAUGGGCCCGCGGCCUAUCAGCUUGUUGGUGGGGUAAUGGCCUACCAAGGCGGCGACGGGUAGCCGGCCUGAGAGGGUGGACGGCCACAUUGGGACUGAGACACGGCCCAGACUCCUACGGGAGGCAGCAGUGGGGAAUAUUGCACAAUGGGCGGAAGCCUGAUGCAGCGACGCCGCGUGGGGGAUGACGGCCUUCGGGUUGUAAACUCCUUUCACCAUCGACGAAGGGUUUCUGACGGUAGAUGGAGAAGAAGCACCGGCUAACUACGUGCCAGCAGCCGCGGUAAUACGUAGGGUGCGAGCGUUGUCCGGAAUUACUGGGCGUAAAGAGCUCGUAGUGGUUUGUCGCGUCGUCUGUGAAUUCCGGGGCUUAACUCCGGGCGUGCAGGCGAUACGGGCAUAACUUGAGUACUGUAGGGGAGACUGGAAUUCCUGGUGUAGCGGUGAAAUGCGCAGAUAUCAGGAGGAACACCGGUGGCGAAGGCGGGUCUCUGGGCAGUAACUGACGCUGAGGAGCGAAAGCAUGGGGAGCGAACAGGAUUAGAUACCCUGGUAGUCCAUGCCGUAAACGGUGGGCGCUAGGUGUGGGUUUCCUUCCACGGGAUCCGUGCCGUAGCUAACGCAUUAAGCGCCCCGCCUGGGGAGUACGGCCGCAAGGCUAAAACUCAAAGGAAUUGACGGGGGCCCGCACAAGCGGCGGAGCAUGUGGAUUAAUUCGAUGCAACGCGAAGAACCUUACCUGGGCUUGACAUAUACAGGAUCGCGCCAGAGAUGGUGUUUCCCUUGUGGCUUGUAUACAGGUGGUGCAUGGUUGUCGUCAGCUCGUGUCGUGAGAUGUUGGGUUAAGUCCCGCAACGAGCGCAACCCUUGUCUUAUGUUGCCAGCACGUUGUGGUGGGGACUCGUAAGAAACUGCCGGGGUUAACUCGGAGGAAGGUGGGGAUGACGUCAAAUCAUCAUGCCCCUUAUGUCCAGGGCUUCACACAUGCUACAAUGGUCGGUACAGUGGGUUGCCAGUCUGUGAGGGCGAGCUAAUCCCGCAAAGCCGGUCUCAGUUCGGAUCGGGGUCUGCAACUCGACCCCGUGAAGUCGGAGUCGCUAGUAAUCGCAGAUCAGCAACGCUGCAGUGAAUACGUUCCCGGGCCU